CAGCAGCCACGGGAAUACGGAGGGGGCUAGCGUUGUUCGGAAUUACUGGGCGUAAAGCGCACGUAGGCGGCUUUGUAAGUUAGAGGUGAAAGCCUGGAGCUCAACUCCAGAAUUGCCUUUAAGACUGCAUCGCUAGAAUCUUGGAGAGGUCAGUGGAAUUCCGAGUGUAGAGGUGAAAUUCGUAGACAUUCGGAAGAACACCAGUGGCGAAGGCGACUGACUGGACAAGUAUUGACGCUGAGGUGCGAAAGCGUGGGGAGCAAACAGGAUUAGAUACCCCUGUAGUCCCUGUCUCUUAUAC
rnacentral:rRNA from 1 species